UCUUUUUUCUCUCCAUAUAAACUUUAGAAUCAUUUUGUCGAUAUCAAAAAAUAACUCACUGGGAAUUUGACUGGGAUUUCAUUGAAUCUAUAGAUCAAGUUGGAAAGAAAUUAAAGCUUGAAAAUAUCGCAUCUUUCUAUUCCUGAACUUGGAAUAUCUCUUUCCUCAAACAUAGGACUAAGGCCUUCAUAAAAGAAACUCUUAAGAGCUCUCUUCCCCCUUCCAUCAGGUAAGAAUACAGAAAGAAGCGGGAACUCAUGAGAUGGNNNNNNNNNNUUUUUUUCAUAUAAAUUGUUAUAGACUGAAUGUUUGUGCUACUCCUCCCCUAAAAAUUUAUAUGUUGAAAGACCCCCACUAUGAUGGUAUUGGGGGGUGAAUCCUUCAGCAGGUGAUUAGGUGAUGAGGGCAAAGCCCUCA
rnacentral:lncRNA from 1 species